rnacentral:sRNA from 1 species
GACCUAAACUCUAAAACCUUUAAUUUUUUUUAGAGCAUGGUUAUAAAUCCUCAGCGAUAAAGAUGGUCUUCUGACCAGUACUUCAUCGCUGAGGUCUGUAUCCGAAAGGGUGUAGGAUAGUUUCGAAAGAAGCUAUC